CAGAUAUUAGUUUAUAAAAAUUUUAAUUUUGGAGAUUAAAGAUAGGUGGAUAUCUAUAUCUGA
rnacentral:tRNA from 1 species